GUCCCGUUCGUCUAGAGGCCUAGGACACUGCCCUCUCACGGCGGCAACACGGGUUCGAAUCCCGUACGGGACG
rnacentral:tRNA from 2 species